GAGAGCAAGAGCGAAAGUGCGAGGGAGACUCAGAGACAGAGGCACACGAAGAGAGGGCAGACAGAAAGGAACAGAGACAAUCUCAAAAGGAGACAGAGCUACAGAGACAAAGGGGAAACCAGAAAUGUUGAGCCGCAUUCGGAUUUAGGAGCAGAGAAAGAAGAGAGGGCGCAAGACACAGACACUGAGAGAAGGAAAGACAGGGAAACAGAGGCAGGGGGAGUUGACCGGAGAGUAGAGUCGUGAGGGAGAGAUUCUUCCUACACUGGGCCCGCACGGGGACCUAGUCCUGGCCUCGAGGAACCUAGGUGGCUGCGCGGAGGAAGAGCCCUCACCCACAAAGGAACUUGAGCCGUGGAGUUCAGCCCCAAACGUGGUUUAGGGGCUUGGACACUGCGGGCGGGAGCGGGAUGGGGCUCUGCGGGGGGCUUGCCUCGCAGCUGGGUAUUGCCCCCAAAUGACUCCCGCAGGACCCCUCCUCCACCAGGCAGCCACUCCGGCGACACUCUCCUUUCCCUGGCGCCCUGAGACCGGGGGGACGGCAGGUUAGCCGAGGCCCAGCUCAGGGAAGCCCACCGGGGACCACCCGGGGGAGCCCUCCCCCCCCACUCCAGCCUCGUGUUCCGCCCCCGCCGGGAGGCCCGGGCGCCCCCGGGGUGAGCGCGGAGGGCAGCGCGGCGGCCCGGCGGCUCUUGGCGGCCCCUCUCUGACAAUCUUUCCUUUGUUUGUUUUCUUAAAUCUGGGAGGCCCGAAUUCCUGCCGGAUUCCGUAGGUUUCACUCAGGAAGGAGGCGCCCCCACCCCCACCCGGUCUCACGUCGGGCCGGGCAGGUUCUUCCCGGAGGCCCGCGGCGCGCAGCACCGAGGCCCCGGGCUGGGCGAGCGGGCGCCGGGCGCCGCGGAGAGUCCCGGGCUCCCUGCCCGCGCGCGCCACCGUGCAGCCCAGCCGGAGGACCGCGGGCAGCCUCCGCAGGAAGAUUAAAAAAAAAAAAAAGGGAAAAAAACCCAGGAAAGUUUUAAAAGAUACAAAGAGCCGUCCUCCUCCCGCCCAGCCUCAUUCCACACCCCUCUGCCGCUUACACUCCCCUCUUAAAAAAAAAAAAAGUUUUUUUUUUUUAUUU